AUAAGCAAUUUAAAAUAUAUGAGACUUGAAACUUUUUUAUGCAUAACAUAACAUGAUUACACAUAAAACAAUGAUAGACAAUAAGAGAGGUGAAUAGGAAUACAACUAUAUCAACCCAAGGGGGCCAAGACCCAUAUAAAUCCAUGAAAGACCAAAAAAAAAAAACACAUGAUAAUAUGCAUUAUUCCAACAAUCUUGAUUGUUCUUGUAAAAAGGUCGCACAUGACCAAAUCAGGAUUCAUAUGAUAUGCAUUAUUCCACUAAAUUGUCACCAUAUAUACCAGUGGUAUAAAAAAGAAAAAACAACUAAAAUCAAAUAUACAACCCUAACUUUUGCCCAGUAAUCAUCUUUUAACUUUUUGUUCGGGGGUGGGAGUGAUGUCCUCGUACUGUACUAUGACCAUUAUGAUUUAUUAUUGAAACUAAUCUUUUAGGUUAAUUAUAAAACACAGUUACACACAAAACCUUGAGUACUUUUCAACAUAAGGGUGAACGACUGAAGAGACAAAGAAGAGAGACAGAGAAAGAUUAUAGGUAAGAAAUAAAGAAAAGGGUCAUUCUUGUGAUAUAUAAAAGAAGUAAUCAACCACACUCAAACAAUCGACUUCCAUAAUUUUCCUAAGCAUAGAAAAAAAGAUUAAUCAUGUCAUCGUUUUGAUUAAUAGGCUAGAAAAAGACAAUGAGCAAUUUAAAAUAUAUGAGACUUGAAACUUUUUUACGCAUAACAUAACAUGAUUACACAUAAAACAUUGAUAGACAAUAAGAGAGGGUGAAUAGGAAUACAACUAUAUCAACCCAAGGGGGCCAAGACCCAUAUAAAUCCAUGCAAGACAACAAAAAAAAAAAAAAAGCAUGAUAAUAUGCAUUAUUCCAACAAUCUUGAUUGUUCUUGUAAAAAGGUCGCACAUGACCAAAUGAGGAUUCAUAUGAUAUGCAUUAUUCCACUAAAUUGUCAACAUAUAUACCAGUAGUAUAAAAAAGAAAAAACAACUAAAAUCAAAU
rnacentral:lncRNA from 1 species